rnacentral:rRNA from 1 species
GGAUUAGGCAUGCAAGUCGAACGAGGAAGUGCCCCGUAAGGCAAGCUAGUGGCGAAAGGGUGAGUAAUGCAUUGAUAACCUGCCUUUGAGAUGGGAAUAACUGCGUUUCGAGCAAUCGGAACUACCGAAAGGGCUGCUAAUACCCAAUAAUACUAUAGGUGCAAAAGCACUUGUGGUCAAAUGCUAGGAAUUCUGUUCCUUGUGCUUAAAGAGGGGUUAAUGUCCUAUCAGCUAGUUGGUGGGGUAAUGGCCUACCAAGGCAAAGACGGGUAGCCGGCUUGAGAGGGUGGUCGGCCACACUGGGACUGAGACACUGCCCAGACUCCUACGGGAGGCUGCAGUCGAGAAUCUUUCGCAAUGCCGAWAGGUGACGAAGCGACGCGCGUGUGGGAAGAAGGCCUUCGGGUUGUAAACCACUGUCAGGAGUUAGGAAAUGCAGGUGCGUUAAUAGCGCACUUGCUUGACUAAGGCUCCAGAGGAAGCCACGGCUAACUCUGUGCCAGCAGCCGGGUAAUACAGAGGCGGCAAGCGUUGUUCGGAAUUAUUGGGGCGUAAAGAGCACGUAGGCGGCCUUGCAAGUCAGUUGUGAAAGCUUCGUUAACGGAAGAACGCAUCUGAUACUACAGGGCUUGAGUACGGGAGGGGAGAGUGGACUUCUGGUGGAGCGGUGAAUGCGUAGAUAUCAGAGACGCGCGGCAAAGCGCUCUCUGUCG